UUGUUUGUUUGCUUUUUGGCCUUGAAUGUUUGUCCCUAAUAUUUUAUUAACUACGCACUUGCAUUCAGAUAUCGCCGAUCAAAUUUAUUCGUUCAUAGUGUAUUAUUUUACGUUUUUUGAUUAAGUUAGGCCUGCCAAUUGAUAUUUUAUCGUGUGUUUUUCUAUGUUGUGAUGUUAUGCUAUUGUUUCAGAAAAAGGGAGAAGGUUUGGAUCCAUUAAAACGUUUAAUCCCGCUGCAAAUGUUUGCACCUGUCCUAAGUCGGGAAUCUGAUGUACAGUAGUUGUCGUUUGUUUAUGUAAUUUAUACGUGUUUCUCGUUUCUCGUUUUUUUAUAUAGAUUAGACCGUUGGUUUUCCCGUUUGAAUGGUUUUACACUAGUAAUUUUGGGGCCCUUUAUAGCUUGUUGUUCGGUGUUGAAGGCCGUACAUUGACCUAUAAUGGUUUACUUUUUU
rnacentral:lncRNA from 1 species